GCAAAGGAAAGGUUUUUUUACUGUAAGAACAAUCAGGAUGUGGAAUUCUCUGCCUGAGGAAGUGGUUUUAUCAGAGUCCAUACAGAUGUUCAAACGGCUACUAGAUGCAUACUUGCAAGAACAGAAUAUUCAAGGAUAUAAUCUUUCAGUGUAGGGUAAUAACUGCUUGAUCCAAGGAUAAAUCUGACUGCCAUUCUGGGGUCAAGAAGGAAUUUUUUUCCUAGCUUGUUGCAAAAUUGUGCUUCAAACUGUUUUUUUUUUGCCUUCUU